rnacentral:rRNA from 1 species
UACGUAGGGCGCAAGCGUUGUCCGGAAUUAUUGGGCGUAAAGAGCUCGUAGGCGGCUUGUCGCGUCUGUUGUGAAAGCCCGGGGCUUAACCCCGGGUCUGCAGUGGAUACGGGCAGGCUAGAGGCAGGUAGGGGAGAACGGAAUUCCCGGUGUAGCGGUGAAAUGCGCAGAUAUCGGGAGGAACACCGGUGGCGAAGGCGACGUCCUGGACCGGCAUUGACGCUGAGGCGCGAAAGCCAGGGGAGCAAACGGG